GGAGGAACAGGCAGGCGGGCCCGCUGAGCAGCAGCAGCAGCAGCAGCAACAACCGCACAACAGCCCUGAGGAGGGAGUGAGGCGCUGCUGGCAAGAAGCGGGGCUGGUGGUGGUAGUGGGGAGCCGACGCGGGCUUCCCUCCGAGGCUUGCUCCUCCGCCGGGGGGCGUUGUCUCAUGAGGCAAGUGGUUCAGCAUGUUUUGAGUCUUCUUUCAAAUUAACAACACACAGACUUGCAGGUGUUCCCCCACCCCCCCAUCCUGAUGUUUGGUCUUGUUUGAGCACCG